rnacentral:rRNA from 1 species
UCGAUGAAGAACGCAGCGAAAUGCGAUAAGUAAUGUGAAUUGCAGAAUUCAGUGAAUCAUCGAAUCUUUGAACGCACCUUGCGCCCUUUGGUAUUCCGAAGGGCAUGCCUGUUUGAGUGUCAUUAAAUUCUCAACCUUGCUCGCCUUUACCGGCUUGAGUGAGGCUUGGACGUGAGGGCUUUGCUGGCUUCCUUAAGUGGAUGGUCUGCUCCCUUUAAAUGCAUUAGUGGGAUCUCUUGUGGACCGUCACUUGGUGUGAUAAUUAUCUACGCCUCGUCGACUUUGAAGCAAACUUAUGGGAACCUGCUUAUAACCGUCUCGCAAGAGACAACUUUCUGACAUUUUGACCUCAAAUCAGGUAGGACUACCCGCUGAACUUAA